AAUACGAAUCUGCGAAAACACAAAUAUUUGUAAAAUAUCUGGAUAGGGUUUAUUGUUGGGCAGAAUGGCAAAGGAAUUAGAUUUUAAAAACAAAUAGUAAUAGCAUUUUAGAUUUGUAUAGUGCUGUACAGUUACUGGUAAUUUUCACAGAUAUCAUCUAUCUAAUUCACAUGCUUUUUAUCCCCAAAUAGAGAACCCUUACUAAAGAGUUUAGAUUUGACUAUAUGCUAAAAAUGUUUAUGUAAACAGAUGAACAUGGAAUCUCCUUACCUAGAGAAGCAAGAUCAGAAUACUGUGAACUUAAGAGGAACAGAUCCACUGCAGUCUGCUGCCCUGAGCAAUCUAAAGCCAGUUUCUUAUAAAAAUCCGUCGCAGGGCCAAGAUGCUGUACAACCUAAGUCAACAGGCCAUAAAGAAGGAGCUGGAAGCCUUGCGCUAUGCACACAUUUCUACAUCUCUUACAGUAACGAAGAUGAUACUUUGUCCUCCUAUCAAACUAAAAGUAUUCAGAAGAAAACCCCGUAUUUCCUAUCAUUUCACUGACAAAUACUUCAGUUGGUAUUUCUAACAGCAGGAAUUGGGGCUAAGAAGCAGAAAAAAGAACAAAGCAAUAAAAAGGGUAUCACCCACUCUUUUAUUUGACCCUGCCAUUAUUUAAAAAGUCCAUGGAAAGGGUAGAUAUUUCCAUAAUCCCUUAGAAGUCUGUAUUAUUUGCAGAAGCAAACUGUACAAGUAUGAAAGACAAUGUACAGAAUAGUGUCC